CCUACGGGUGGCAGCAGUAGGGAAUAUUGCUCAAUGGUGGAAACCCUGAAGCAGCAAAGCCGCGUGGAGGAUGAAGGUUUUCGGAUUGUAAACUCCUUUUGUUAGAGAAGAUAAUGACGGUAUCCAACGAAUAAGCACCAGCCAACUCCGUGCCAGCAGCCGAGGUAAUACGGCGGGAGCAAGCGUUACGCGGAAUGACUGGGCGUAAACGGCGCGUAGGCGGGAUAGCAAGUCAGAUGGGAAAUCCUAUGGCUUAACCCUAGCACUGCAUUUGAAACUGGUAGUCGCGAGUAUGGGAGAGGCAGGUGGAAUUCGUGGUGUAGCGGUGAAAUGCGUAGAUAUCACGAAGAACACUGAUUGCGAAGGCAGCAUGCUGGAGCGUAACUGACGCUGAUGCGCGAAAGCGUGGGUAGCGAACAGGAUUAGAUACCCGAGUAGUC
rnacentral:rRNA from 1 species